GGUUCAGGUCGGCAGCCUCUGGAGGAAGUGGUGUCAGCCCGCCCCUUCCCACGCAGCGCGCAGACGUGGAGCGCUCGGCGCGCGGCUCCGCAUCGAGGUGCGAGGAGGGCGCCUGGCUGGAGACACACCCACGGAUGUGGAUAAAGACGCCUGAAGCUCGGGGGCUGCUUUUUUCGACUCCACGGCUACCCUGCCCAGCCCUUCUGGGUCUCUUGACUCUGCACAAGCGAAGGCUGCCUCAGUCCCCAGCCUGUGGUCCUUGGGGAUGACUCAGAGAAUGGCUUUCUACAGGAAGAUGCUGCUGCCACGUCCUCUCUGCAUUCAGGAUGAUCUUCUCUAGAUUCACUUUCAUAAGAAGGACCAUCCUUGGGAGUCUCUAGAAAAGAGAGGCCAGUGAGCACUUACUGAGCUACAAAGAGCAUUCAGUUGACUGUACAAAAUAAAACUGUUAAAGGCACGGGGGAGGGAGAAAAUGCAAGCUCAUGGAAUCCAGGAUAUGUGACCAAACUUCCGACGAUGCUGGAAUUUUUCCAUGGAUUUUAAAGAGCAGCACUGGGUCCAUUCAUCUUAAGACUCUCGUACCCAGAGCUCAGCCAACUGGGACCUCAACAGCGCUUCCUAUUUGCUAGUAUUUGAAGGAGCACAAGAAUGAGAUAUUUGGAUUCGUCACUGGACACCAUCUGAACAACAGCUUUUGACUUCCUUAGAAACCACUAACGUGACCUAAAAAGGGAGUCUUCGGGGUCAGAAUGGAUAGAUUCCACAGGUCGCCUCACCAUCAGAGCACCAGCCUCUGAGAGGCACUUUGGGGCUGCAGUCCAGGGGCUGAAUGGCAGCCCUCAUGGCCAUGCAGCAAUGGCUGGACCUGCCAGGCCACUCGAGGGGGACCCAGCUGGGCUGGCAUGACUGGUGCUUCCUGAUACAGCCAGGAGCAAGUGGCUGAAGGUCCUGGAAGCUCCUUGCACAGGCAGGCUGCAGUCUCUGGUUCCUUGUGUGCAGCAGUGCAGAGGUAACUGUGGGCCUCCCCUGCCUCCCCCCGGGCACGCAGCCAAGAGAAGGCCCAGGAGAAAGGCCGAGAGAGACGCAGCUCUGCCAGCUCUAGACCGGACCUGUUGUGAACGGCUGCUUCUACCUCUAGAGACUGGAGAGAAGGGCAGGAUCAUCAUACAUGGGGCUCGCUCAGAGCUCGCAGCUGUCUCCCCUCUGCCCACAGGCCCCAGGCUGACUCGGCCAACCAAGCAGGCCCCAGAGAAUUGGUCUGCAGGGCUGGGCCUGCUGUGCGGGCCCCGAAGCUGCUCACCUUUAGGCUGUAGCCAGCAAGACCGCCAUAUAUGUAUGCUAAUCCCCUGCUAAGCCACCAGCUGAUGUCACAGGACAAGAGAAGAUUUCAGCAGUUCCAAUGACUGACAAAUACACACCACUCUCGUAGUACUCCCAAGACAAACUAGCCACCCCUCCCAGCCACCCUCGGAGACAGGGAAACACACUUUACAUGUUCUCCAUGUCUCUGCAGAAACUGUGUCCUCCACAGGACACUAACCUUCUCCUUCAUGCUAAUAAAUCCAAACUCUAAGGCACUACAGGGCACGGUCAGGUCACAGUUUUCUUAGGAAUGGAAGGUAAAAAAAACCCCACCACAUUCCAUCUGCAGAAGCUUCAAAAUAAAUCUUUCAUCAUGGUGUGGAUUUUAGUACUAAUCUUAUCCACAGUGUCAUCUGAUUUUCUCACCCUUCCCUCCUCCCCUUUAUCACAAUCUCCUUUCAUUAAAAUAUCAAUCCUGCUGCCCAAGGUGUGUUUUGUUAAGGACGUGACAUCCUUUGGAGGAACAAAGCUGAGCAAUAAAUUUCUUCCCAAUCAUGACCUAAGGACCUAUCAUCACUCCAGAUCACCAGAGGAAGACUUGUUGAAUGUCUGUUAACCUACCAGGCGGCAAGUUCCAUGAGAGAAGAAAUGAACAAACAGGUUACUGUCCAAUCGUCCGAGAGUACAGGGCUCUUAGUGUGGCAGAGACACAAAGGGUCCUGUACACUUUCUGUCACACACCAAUCUCUUCUCAGGAACUGCAGGGAUGACUUUCUGGUCCCUCGGGGCAGCCCGUGCACUGGCAGAGCUGACUUCUUAUCUGAGUUGCACACAAUGUCAGUGACGAAAGGUCAGUGACAAUGGGCUACACUGUCAAAUCUAUUUCCCAAAUGAGACCUGACCUAAAGAGUCCGUCCCUAAGGUUUUCAGAGUCUAAGUAAGGUUACAGAUUUUUAUCUCAAGUCUUAAAGUGCAGAUUUAUGUCCAUGCUGUCUCUGAGUAUCUUACAGACACAUAUUUACAUGAAAAUCACAAAAGAGAAGGCAGCAACUACAGCAGUCCUUCCAAUAUAUGAACUUAUCACAUCUGAUCAAUGGUAUUAAACCUCUGCAGGGAACCAACGCCAGAAACCUGGACGUUAAUGAGGAGGCGCUGGUCCUUCUCAGGCCCUUGGGCCCCAUGCUUCACUUACCUGCACGCAGCAUUUCAGCUUUCCUGAUUCUGAGUGCGAUCUGACAAUGGGCUUUAGGUGGGCACUGUGGAGCAGACCACACACGCACCCUCUUUUAGGAGAUCCCGUCGCUACCCUCCCAGAUAAAAGACAACCCUGAAGUGGUGCUGUGCUUCCCAGGUCCGUGAUGGACAUUCCUGUCUGCGCCCCACUCCACGACCGCGUCACCCUGUGGGCACUCACCAGGGUGACAAUGGCACAUUCCGCAGUCAGCUGAGCAGCACUGAACAGUGUCCGAACAAACCGGUAAAUCUGCUUCUGCUCUGGGUUGUGUUUGUCAUAAUCUGGUGGCACUUCGCAUUUCUGGGAAAGGAGAGAUUCUCAAUGACUGGCCGCCCAACAAGAAUAACAGAGACACGACUGGACAACACCCUGAGACCCCGGGGGAGGGUUACCGAAAGAGGGUGAAGGUUCUCAUCGAAAAUAUCCAAGAGCAUCCUUCCAUCUGGGUCCCUGGUUGGGGGAGCGGGCCGGGGGGAGAAAUAACAGAAAACGGAGUUUACCUUCUGCAAGUAUGAGUGCCAGUCAAAAGGAAACAAAAAUAUAUUUUGAUUCAGCUGUUAUUUCAAGAAACAGAGGCAGUGCUGUUAAGAGAUGCUACUGAUUAUUCAUGAAUUAUAAUUUGUUUUUCUUGGGGACAAUACUUAAUCAUUUUUGAAUAGUCCAAGAAAUAAAGGUUAUGAAUCACAUUUAGUUUAAUUAACUUAAGUGAAAAUGUAGAUUUUCAUUUCCUGAGUUUUCAAAUGAACCAAAUCUAAAUUUCUUUAACCUCUUGUUUCUGAGCAAAGGCUGACAGAUCUGUUUAAACCAUCCUUACGUUGUGGUUGACAAGAAAGAAUUCUGAGGGUAACAAUGAACACUCAUAGUGUGUCCUGGAGAUUAGUUUGAAAGUUUCACAGCAUGCAACUUAACCACUUCGCUAAUGAGGAGUUUCAUGACUGUAUAUUGAAAAACAAAAGGGGACACGUAGAAAAGUGUAACUGGUUGUUACCAAGCCGGUAACUGCACAGACCCAUUUAAAGUGGCAGCGUUCACUGUGAGCUCAGCGGGGCCGCUGGGCUCUGGGGGGUCGUCCACACUCCACUAGUGAUGGCUCUACCUCCAUCUGUUUUACGUCAUUUGAGUUUUGUCUAAAAUUUUUUCUUUAAAAACCAAAUUUGGAAACCACUGCUUUGGUUAACAGCACACAAUUUUCCAACGUCAACUAGCCUUGCAAGUAUCAGAAGGCUGCAGAUCUGUCCCUGACACGCACGCCCCGUGGCAAACACUACAGUUUCUGUUCUAUGAACUUACUGUCUGCGUCAAAAUAAAAGCGAAAGAAAGAGCUUGGCAGGACAGCUCAAUUUUCAUCCCUGUCUUUGCACAGUGGGAACUGUUUUUAAAGCUCUGGGCAUUCAUACCUGUGCUGCUUUUCACUAGCCUGCAGGACAGACAGCAAAGAUUUAGAUGAACCCGAAUAAAAGCACGGCUCAAGCAGUCAGGACUGGAGAGUGGGGUGAAAACGUAAAGUGCACCUGGCGCUGAGGAAUCACGAUCCCCCUCGACUGCCAACCGCCUCUGCCAGGUACUCAAGGAGGAAGGUGAGGGACGCCCCCAACUCCUCAGGCUCUUCAGCCCUGUUCAGUUCUCCUGAGGAGUGAGAGCCCCUGAAACACCAUUCAGCACUCUCGAGAAACUUUCACAAGUAAUUUUAAAAAUCAAAAUGUAGGUUCAGAAAUAUAAAUAAGGAUUCAGAAUUUAAGCUAAAAUGACUCCUCUAAGAAGUGGAUUUUGCUUUCACUUCCAUUAAAAGCUAUGAAUCUCAGCACAGUCUCUAUCAAAGCUAAGGGAUCUAUCACCAGCCCCUGAGGCUGGGUCAGUAUGACUUAUCAAAGGGAGAGUCUGCAGACACCUCUUCUCAAGACACUUUCAGGCUACAAUCUGUAAAUUAAUCAUGCUUGUUUCCACAGGCUGACUUUUCUGUUGGACUCUCUCCACUUCCUCUCGGCCCAAUGUAUCACCAUUAACCCAGCAGAGCAUAUCAUUUAAAGUCUCAGUGGUAUAUUGCUUGGGUUCAAUUCCCAAUUCCCCACUUUACUAGUUGUGUAAUCUCAGGCAAAUUAUUUAAAAAAAAAAUCUCUCUAUGCCUCAGUUUCUUUAUCUGUAAAAUGGAGAUAAUGUCAGAAUCACCUCAUGGAGCUGUUACAAAAAAAUUAAAUGAGAUAAGGCAUGCAAAGAGCUGACCAGGGUGGUCAGAGUAAGCAUUUAAUGGAGUGGGGUCUUAUUAUUAAUAGCUAUGGCUAUAGAUUAGCUUUGAGGCCCAUAGAGUCUAAGAACUGAGAAAUCGGAGACGCUAAUGCAAAACUGUUUUGAGAACACAUCUGAGUUUCACCAAUGGUAUUACAUUGCUAGUUAAGACCUAAGUGUUUAAAAAGUGUGAACUACUAUCAUAGAAAUAAGCAGCAAGAUGAAUCUACACUGUCACUAAGUUAUUCUGGUCAAGGUUCGAAGUUCCAGUAUCCUACAUUUUGUAAGUUCGUAAAUCCAAACUUCUCAAGCACCAUAAUGAACCGUGAAUCACAGUUACAUUACAGAGAAAGGUCAUUACAGAGAAUACCUUUCCAGGUAUUUGCUUCCAAUGGCUGUGUUUUCCCAUAACCUGUCCAUCACAAGCUCUGUCAUCUACCCUCCACGUCACUGCUUGUCACAACUCUCCCUUGUCCCCUUCCUAAAAUAGACUCCAGGGCUGUGGCCCCCACCACGGAGACCCACGCUAGCCAGAAGGUGACCUUGCUGGUUCCCGGAACUGUUACUACACUCAUAUAACACAUGUAAAUGUCACACCCGUCAGUGGAACAGGACUGCAGUGAGAGUGGCUUUGUUCUCAUGAAAACGAAGAAGGAUGCUUCAUAAAGACCCAAUAAAAGGAAAUCACUAAAAACAAGUUUGCUGUAGAUCAGGUGUGGUCAAAGCCUAAAAGGUUCUACACUCAUUGUUUAGCAAAUGUCACAAGUUUUCUCGCUAUUGAUUACAAAAACAAACAAAAAAACACACACAAAACAGGUGUGGCUUAUAAAAGGACAGCACUUCAGUAAUCAAUGCCCCACGCUCAAAGCAGAAGCCUCAGUGCUGCAUAAAACUGGCAAAUGAGUGUACUUUUACAUGUUUUAUGUUGAAUUAAAAUGCUUAAGGUAAAUGUUUAAAUGAUUCUUCUGUGAGUCCCUGUUUUAACUGACUUUUAAAAUUAACUGAACUAUCUCCAGACAUCUAUCAGAGAGAGAAUUUCUACUACAUUAAAAUAGUUUAUGACUAAAUUUACAACAAAACUUUUUCUACUGAAUUGAAACUGUAAACUAAACAUUUUUUCAUGUUAAAGCUGCACACAGAAAAUUGUUUAAAUAUUUUAUAACAGACAGAAUGUUUAAGCAAAUUAUACAGAAAAUAAAGUCAAGAGGAGGCUGAACAUUGUCAAGAAACUUUGUUCUGUUUUGCUGGCUUCAUUUGGUGUCCUCUGACUCAGAAGCAGUUCAGCAUUUACCUAGUAAGUGUGGGUAAAUUGUACUAACUUUAGAGAUUCUAUGAAAAUGAAAUAAGAAUAUAAAACUCAAAGGCUGAGGAACUAGAACGUAAUAGGAAAAACAUCACAGUAGAUGAUGUGUGAUGUUUUUAGCACAAAAUUAAUCAAAAUCCACCUACCUGUUUUUGAUGUGGUAAUAUAUUGCGAGAGCUACACUGUAAAAUAAAAUGCAGAAGUUCAGUGUUUCAUAAGCACAUUCAAGAUGUUAUAUAUUAUCUGGCAUCAGUCUGACCAUAAAUAUUUAAAAUUUAAGUAAAAAAUGACCCAUCUGAACAGCCCCAGUUAAUUCACAGUGCUGAUUAAGAAAAUGCAUUCUUCAAAGUAAAUCAAUCAGGCACUUAUUUUGAGCAAUUAUUAAAUCUUUUCCAGAAACACCAAAACUUCAAGUGAUAUUCAGAAACAAAUUUCUCUUUCUAUCUGAAAUCUUAAGCUUUCUUCACUUUAAAAUAUAGGCACUAUGUAAAAAAUAGGUGGUGAAAUCAAACACCUCUAGAAGUCUCCAACUUAGCACCUGCUGUUUUAGAAAAUUAGUGGUUUCUUUAUAACUACCAUCAAAAUGUGAAUAUUACCCACAGUGGUUUGCCAUUUUUUCUUUUAAAUCAAUAACCUCUUGGAAAUCUGCCUAAUUUAUUCAUUCAUUUGCUGAAUGGUAGUGUAACUCUUAUUUGUAAUACCUUAAAAUUUUAUUUUACAUUUUAAAAGAUCUGAAUUUAAUGAAGACAUUCCUAUCCCCUGAAUUUUCUUCAAAUAAUGUUUUUCUGAUUAUAAAAUGUGUUACAUUCAGAUUGAAGAAAUUUUUGGAAAAUAAAAAAAGUAUACAGAAAAAUAAUUCCUCUGCCCAAAGAUUAUUACUAUCAGCUUAAGAUAUAGAGGUAUUUAUUCGUAUCUACCUAAAGCAAACAGGUUUGCAUCCCACUUUUAUCCUCAUUAACAUUUUUCUUACCAUUAAAGUGUCAUUCAAAAACGUGACUUUAAAUGGCUGACUAUAUUCCAUUACAUUGUUGAAUAAUUUAUUAACCAUCCCCCUACUAUUGAACAUUUAAGUUAUUUUUAAUAUUUUUGCAAUUAUGAUUAACACCAUAAUGAAUAUACCCACAGAUAAAUAUUUGUGUGACCUAUCACUAUAUUAUUUCCAUAAGAAAACAUCCUGUACUUGGAAUUACUUGCUCUAAGGUCAUUAAUAACUGUAAGGCUCCCCACAUAUACAUCCCAGUAUCUUUGCAGAAAAGCUGUACCAGUGUACUUCCCCACCAGUGUGUGUCUCACCUCCCCUUCACCAACACUCACCUUGAAUGUUUUGAAAAAAUGUUCUCCAACUGGACAGGUUAAAAGUGUAACCGUUUUCAAUUUGAGUUUCUUUGAUCACCUGUCAAGUUGGCAGGGUUAUUCGUGUUGACUGCCCAAUUUUUUUUUAUUAUUUCCUCUUUUGCAACCUGUCUAGAUCCUUCCACAAUUUUUGUUUUACUUUAAAAUGUAUUGAGGAGGCCAAAAAUUUAUUUUUUAAGCUUCUAAGAACAUAGCUAACUGGCUGCAUCAGAUUGUGUUCUCAGAGCACAGAAACUGCCAUCCAGGGCACCAACAUGGAGGUAGAGGGCUGGGUCCCAAACACCUCAGCUCACUCGGCGGCGGCACUCACUCAGAGACCUGGGCAUGCACGCUGGACUCUGAGUAGCUCAGAUGUUCACCCACGACUUAACAUGACAAUAGCUCAUCUCUAUCAAAAGAAAGCAUCUCCUUCUAAAUCUCUCUUUCCAGAUCUAUUAAUUCAAACGAUUUCAGCUAAGUGUUAAAAGUAUCCCUGAGCAAAUGUAAUAUAUUCUCUUCCUCCUAACAUCUUGAAAAGCAUCUAUGCUGAUGAAGGAAAGUGGGGUGAAGGGACUUCAGACGUUUAAAAAAUAAUGGUACAGUUUUCAAAGUGCCUUCACGUACCUUAAAAGCCCUGCAAUGGGAAAUAAUAAAUGUUACUGAUUCUAUUUUAUAAAUAAGAAAAUUCAGGUAGAGACACUAGAUGUCGGGAUUUCCGACUUGUAUCAUGGUUUUAUGCCCUUUCAUUCUAUAAUGCUGCCUCUAGAAAAAAGGAAGAAAGUACUGUUUUAUUCAUUUAACAGUCCUGCUGUGAUGAUUAAAUUGAAUGUUUCAUAUGAUUCGGUUUGGUAUAGUGAUUACUUUAAUUGCUUUGAUUGAUUGAGAAAAAUAUGGUCCCUGCUUCCCCUGUGAGGGAGCACAUCACAGGAAAAUCACCACUGCACUGAAGUCAGACCAGCUGGGUUUAAAAACUGGCUCCUUCAUCAAUUAGAGUUUAUCCACCUCUCAGAGCCUUCAAUUCCUCAUCUAAAAAAUUACAAUUCAACCCACAUCACAGAGUGGUUAUUACAAUCAAAUGAAGUGUAUAAAAGCAUGAUCUCAAAUAUAAAGUUCUAAAGCAAAGUUAUUAUUAUUAUUGUUGUUGCCCUAUGAAUAAUUCCACCUCAAGAGGUCUUCCAGCUUCUGUAGAUGGAGUGAAGGUCUUCGGGGCCCCAAGGUUACUGUCUCCCAGAUCUCCAGAGCUGAAAGCAAGCUUGGACGUUAUCAUGACUCAGGCCUCCAUAAAACACAGUGCCAGUCUGUAGGCCAAUGUCCACUCAAGAUCAUGCCCCGGAAAGUGAGAAAACCAAUCUGAGGACGCACGUGUUGGGCCCAGCUCCACAGGCCAGCUCAGUCGGUCAUUGUGAAAGAAGUGACUGCCGGGGGGGGGCAAAGGACAGUCAGCUGAAAACAGAAUCAAUUCCAGGCUUCAGGCUUUACUCCAAAUGCCCAGCUUUGGAGGCCUGCUUAUUCUGCCAUGUCCUCAGAAAAUGGUGAGGUCACCCAGGACAGGCUGGCCAGAGGGUUAGCUCAACUGCCCUUGCUGCAGAGCCAGGAGGGAAGGGGAGCUGGGAGUGAAGAAAUGCUAUUUUCUUGAUCAGGAAAACAAAACAUGUUUCUGACCGCGGGCACUACCCUCGCUGUACUUCUCACCUAGAGCUAAGUCAGAGGUGCCGGGUUCUGGCAGGUGUACGAAGCUGCUCUCGACCCUCAGGCCCGGGGCCGCGGAUGGUGUGGGCAGCUGCGAGCGGCCCUCACUGCCCUCCCCCCAUCCUCUGAGCACCAUCCCCGUGCUCACACAGGAUUCGGGGCCUGGGUCGGUUACAGCGGCACAGGGGUGGGUGGCAAACUCUAAAUUCAUACCACAGCCAUUGGCCUUCAGGAGAAAGAUGGGAAAAUCAA